rfam:Orchesella cincta Ocin01_Sc2051, whole genome shotgun sequence.
UGUCUCGGGCCUACCUGCCUUUUCGUAUAAAAAUCUCGCCUUUUACUAGAUCUUUUCGAGCGGGUGGGCACUCUAUGAGAAUUAAAACAAUUUUUUCCUGACCUACCGUAAGGUGGGUUA